GCUCUGACCAAUGAGCAUUCAGCAGCGCUGUCCUCUACUGCGUCUGUCACAGCUCCACGUGAUAGAGGAAGGGGAAGAAACAACAGAGCGUGUGCAUUUCCUCUCCCACCCUCCGCAGCCCCCAUCCAGUCUGCUCCGCACACUCGCACAGGCACAUUAGACUGAGUAAACAUCCGAGCAGGGAGAAGCUGUAGAUGCCGGCCUGAUCAGUGGUAUAGGAGAUAAGGGUCACACCCAGGAAGUCGACACGGUCCCUAUUGUAAGUGAAGGUAAAAUUAAGAUUGUGCACGUUGGAUUGAAGGUAACCACUUCGAUGCUUGACUUCCGUCUCCCUGCGGGCGCCCCUUGAUGACGUCGCCCGCUGUAUACGGCAGCAGCUGGUGAGCUGGACGGCUUGAGACAGCGGCAGUCAGCGUGGCGUUCGGGUCGGAGGGCAGGAUCGCAGCUGAGGUGAGUCAAGGAUCUAAAGAUUAGAUAUAUGGAUAAUGAAAGCUAAUGGCACCAGUCAAGGUUACAGCACUGUACAUACAGUAUAGGACAGGAGUGCCAUGACUCGUCAACCAGGACAAAGCACGCAAUUCGGGUGAAACGCGUGGGCCAUAUAGCAUUAGCCUGUCACAUGUCUGUUGAAACCUGCCCAUAUCGGAAGUAAGAGGUCUGCAGUUUAGAAGGCAUCACCUAUCAGCAAGGUACAAGAACGGGAAAGAAUAUCUACGAGAGACUCCACUCCGAGGACCAGAUCUCCGAAUGGUGGGAAGUACCGCAGGACAGGACAGCACUAACAGAAAUGGGGAACCUGGCUGAAGACGUCAUUGCAUUUAGAGACUGACACAAAACAUAAUGUAAAGACUGCAUAUUGUACAUCAGAGACACAUCCGUUCCCUCUAUCGGAGACGCCGAUCUCUGCUGAGACUAGGAGGUGGCUUGAUGCGCUUCUUAUGUGUUCUUCACACAUAUAACAAAAUUGUCAACUUUUAUUAGAGAAUGUCACUGUUACAUGUUUUAUUUUUAUGUUAAAAUUAUAUUUUAUUAAUGUGAACAUGUUAUAUAUCCUAUAUAAUAAAAAUCUAACGCUGCUCCUCACCUCUAUUGGGGGGUCGUGUUCUGCAUACCGGAAGCUACUAGAUGACACCCAUUUGGGUGCUCACAGCCGCCACAACACAGCUGACAUUACUUUUAUGUUGUUCUGUCAUUUUGAUGGGCUGUUAACUAGCUUUAUAUAUAAACUCAAACCAAUAUAAUUAUAUAUAUAUAUAUAUUUAUUUUUUAUAUAUAUAUAUAUAUAUAUAUAUAUAUAUAGUGAGAGAGAAAUAGAUAUAAUGAUAUAGACCCCUUGAAGAAGUCAGCCAGACGAAACGUGUUGGGUGUACCUCACUGACUCCAUAUACUAAGAUAAGCUCUAAGCCUCUCAUUUUUUUAGAUUGUAUUUUUAGCCUUGUAAAAGUCCUAUACAUAUAUUUUUUAUAAUUAAUUUUUUUGUAUGUCUCAGUCUGCUAGUCCAUUUUUUAUAUGUUUUUCAUAUGU